UUGGAGGGCAAGUCUGGUGCCAGCAGCCGCGGUAAUUCCAGCUCCAAUAGCGUAUAUUAAAGUUGUUGCAGUUAAAAAGCUCGUAGUUGAAUUUCGGGGUUAGUAGGUUGGUCAUGCCUCUGGUAUGUACUGGUCUCACUGAUUCCUCCUUCCUGAUGAACCGUAAUGCCAUUAAUUUGGUGUUGCGGGGAAUUUGGACUGUUACUUUGAAAAAAUUAGAGUGUUUAAAGCAAGCUAACGCUUGAAUACAUUAGCAUGGAAUAAUGAAAUAGGACGUUCGAUCCUAUUUUGUUGGUUUCUAGGAUUGACGUAAUGAUUAAUAGGGAUAGUUGGGGGCAUUAGUAUUCAAUUGUCAGAGGUGAAAUUCUUGGAUUUAUUGAAGACUGACUACUGCGAAAGCAUUUGCCAAGGAUGUUUUCAUUAAUCAAGAACGAAAGUUAGGGGAUCGAAGACGAUCAGAUACCGUCGUAGUCUUAACCAUAAACUAUGCCGACUAGGGAUCGGAUGAUGUUAAUUUUUUAAUGGCUCAUUCGGCGCCUUACGGGAAAC
rnacentral:rRNA from 1 species